UAGCACUCCUGUCGACGGCUUGACAUAUGAUCGGGCUUCAGCAAACACUUACGCACGUUGCUGCCGCUUCCCCUAACUUCUAGAUACCGCCCCUUGGGAUCGAUAUAUAAAUUGGCCUCGUUUUCAAUGACUCGCCAGAAGCACGCUAUCAGACGAAAGAGUGAGAUCUUUCCACAGCCUUCUGCAAGAUGAAGUCCCAAACCACUGUCAUGGUCCUUCUGGUCUUCCUGUGCGUGGCGUCUAUACCAGCCAUAGCUUAUUGCCCCAGCAAUGAGGGUGUCUUCAGCGACUGCACCUUCAGCGAGUGUACGCCAGAUGACUGCGCGGCCCAGGGCCUUGAGUGCUGCCCCAAACCCUGUGGUGGUUCCUGGUGCGUUGAAGGUGUCCAGUAGCAUCUUGACAUAACAUGAUUCGAGGUUAUGUCUGCAGCGCUGCCUCGUCUGGCCUGAUGGAUGGCUUUCCAGUAACGCUCCGUUUUUACUGCAGCGUGAAAUAAACGGACGUCCCACUAUCCCUAUCCAUUCUUUUUCUGUGAUUA